CCUCCGCGCCCCGGGAGCCGCCGGGAUCGCGUGCUGUCCGCCGGGGGACCCGUCUGCGCUUCCCGCCCCGCGGCGGCCCCUCCGCAGGAGCGCCCCGCACCCGAGUGCCAGAUCACAUCAGGCUGUGAGAUACCUGAGGACUAUUUGUUUGCAGACUGCUGGAAGACAGAGACACAAUCACCUAUUGAACAUGAGAAGGUCUUCUUGUGAUCAUCAAAAUCAUCAGCAAAGUAGCAGAACCUGUCAGUAGAAGUUUGUGUUCAAUUCAGUGCAAGUCAUCUGCCUUGUGGGCCUAUCUGAUACUUGGAUCAAAGCUGCAGUGCAGUCAGAAGGAAAGAAGGAAGUGUCCAGAAGAAUUGAAACAAGGCUGGAUUCUCAGAAACACAAGGACAAAUCCAUUUCCUCAGCAAGCUGAUGCAACUCUGAAGAUGCCAGUGCAGUGACAGCAAAAUAAAUUCAAUUCGCAGACUCCUGUCAUCCUCCGGAUCUUUGGAUCAGUUGUUUUUCCCUCUCAGCCUCAUUCAUUGCUUCUGAGGACGAACUUCUAAACACCUGCUGUGGUCGAAACUGUUCUUACAUCAUCUCCUGAAAACAGUGACUUCAAUCACAUGAAAUCAUGAGGUUAAUGCCACAGUCGAGACUUCAAAGCUGUUUCUGAAGACCUGAGUUGAUUUUUUUUUGAAAAUGCUCUGGUAGCUGCUAGUUCUUAACCAAUAGAAGAAUUACCAAAGUUGCCAGCGUUCUGCUUAUCAUGCAAUACAAGCAGAUGGGAGAAUUUUCUAGCAGAACUGCAGUCUGGAUAGAGGUGGCAGUACCAUAGUAUGAGCUCUCCACUUAAUCUCAGAUUAGUUUUUUGUCUUUUUGUAUAAAAUGGAGAUGAAUAUCCUUGUUCUGUAUUACCGACUUGAACCAGAUGACCUUUAAAAGGUCCCUUCCAACUCAAACUAUUCUAUGAUUCUAUUAAAUUGUUAGUUGUGCUAGAAAAAGGAUUCUCACAAGAAAAAGGGUGAUUACAGGGCUGGCUAAUGAGGGUAAGAGUUCAGGCUGCAAGGGGAACUAUCUUCAGAGAGACACUUUGAACCAAUCUUUCAGAAGGAGGGAGACACUGAUACAUAUCUAAAUGACUCUGAUGGGGUUAUAUGCAGUAGCAGAAAACUUUCCUCUGACCAGAAAGUCCCCUCUGGUUCUGCGUUUCUGAGUUGUAGUACAAUGAAAUUCUUAAAUGUUAGUAAUGCAAGUAGCAACAGCGAUUAUCUAUUGAUCAAUAAUAUUAAUAAGAGACUGGGUUGAUUGGAUGUUGCUUUUGGCUGAAUAAAACCAGAAGAACAGACAAAUCUCUUCUUGUAAAAUAAGAAUCCCAAAGGAAAAGCAUGUUUAUCUAGGCCUGGUUUUCAGAGGAGGCUUCACCCAAUUCCUGUUCAUUUGAGUAGCACCAAUAUAAUUAAUCCAGAGUAACACAUUUUGUGGAGUUCCUGUGAAGGUGAGAUCAGAAUCAGGUCCACUGUCUCCAGGUGGGUCCAAGGUAUGCUAAUUGUCGAUAUUAAGAUUCUAAAACUUUCUUGGUAAACUGAAGCAUGACUUUUCUUUCCUAUGAAGCUUCAUGUAUGUAAAACAUGGUUCCUGGAUAGAGAUCACAUCAGCUCCACAGUUAUUAAUUUACAGGUUUCUCGCUGACCUUAGCUCAGCUCUGGGAAUGGUGCCAGCACAAUUACAGUAACUCUGAAUAAAGAGAUGUAAAGCUUCUGUAUCUACCCUGAAAUUGUGCCAGAAUUUUCUCUUCCUCAAUGAUGAAAAGAUGCAUUUCUUCAAUUGGUUUCAAAUAGUUCAGACUGCAUUGGCCGUAAGUAGAUUAUUUCCAGCAAAACAAGGAAAAGAAGAAAACUACCAUGCAGAUGUGUGGAUACACAAUACACAUACUCCACAGAUAAUCUUUGGGAAGUGUGUCCCAAGAAGGUGUA